rnacentral:tRNA from 1 species
CAAAACCGGCGGGCCUCGAUCCCACAAAAAAUAGUUAACAGCUAUCUGCCCAAACCAGCGAGCAUCAGUUUA